ACGGAGGAUGCGAGCGUUAUCCGGAUUUAUUGGGUUUAAAGGGUGCGUAGGCGGUCCGUUAAGUCAGCGGUAAAAUUGCGGGGCUCAACCCCGUCGAGCCGUUGAAACUGGCAGACUUGAGUUGGCGAGAAGUACGCGGAAUGCGCGGUGUAGCGGUGAAAUGCAUAGAUAUCGCGCAGAACUCCGAUUGCGAAGGCAGCGUACCGGCGCCAGACUGACGCUGAGGCACGAAAGCGUGGGGAUCGAA
rnacentral:rRNA from 1 species